rnacentral:rRNA from 1 species
UACGGGGGAGCAAGGCGUUGUUCGGAUUUACUGGGCGUAAAGGGCGCGUAGGCGGUCGUGACAAGUCACUUGUGAAAUCUCCGGGCUUAACUCGGAACGGUCAAGUGAUACUGUCGGACUAGAGUACAGAAGGGGCAACUGGAAUUCUCGGUGUAGCGGUGAAAUGCGUAGAUAUCGAGAGGAACACCUGCGGCGAAGGCGGGUUGCUGGGCUGAUACUGACGCUGAGGCGACGAAAGCCAGGGGAGCGAACGGG